rnacentral:sRNA from 1 species
AGAACUAUGUCCAAAGCCAAUCUAACAGUACCUGCACUCACCUGACUCAUACUGUAGGAGCUUUUUGUCAUAACAUACCAAGUGCCCUACUGAGCUUCUACAUGGGUCAUGCACACUCUCAUGGCAUGGUGUCUCUGAGGGGGGAUAAUUUACCAGAUGGAAGAAUCUCAUGUUUGAUUGGGAAACUGUAGGCUUCAGGCAGCCCAGAAGACAAGAAGAAGGGAGGCAAAUUCCAGCCUUUUAAAAAGUUGUUUGGCAAAAGGAAAAAGAAAGAACCUUCAUUGUUCCGGGUGCAGUCUUUCGGGAAGAAGAGUUACUCUCACCAGAGUGUCAGCAAUGGGACCUUCUCUUCGGAUGAGGAGACCCUGGAAGACAAUCUAAGGUCCUUCAACUAUUCUGUGGGAACCCGGGCAUUUUCCCAUGACAGUAUUUUUAUCCCUGAUGGGGGAGCAGAAAGUGAGCAGACAGUUCAAGCAAUGUCACAGGACAACAUCCUGGGCAAAGUCAAAACUCUUCAGCAACAGUUGGGCAAGAAUAUCAAGUUUGGGC